UACGAAGGGGGCUAGCGUUGUUCGGAAUACUGGGCGUAAAGCGCGCGCAGGCGGUCCUUUAAGUCAGGGGUGAAAGCCCAGAGCUCAACUCUGGAACUGCCUUUGAAACUAGAGGACUUGGGUACGGGAGAGGUGAGUGGGAAUUCCGGAAGUGUAGAGGGUGAAAUUCGAUAGAUAUUACGGAAGGAAACACCCAGUGGGCGAAGGGACGGCCUGGCCAUCCAUG
rnacentral:rRNA from 1 species